rnacentral:rRNA from 1 species
UACGGAGGGUGCAAGCGUUAAUCGGAAUUACUGGGCGUAAAGCGCGCGUAGGUGGUUUGAUAAGCGAGAUGUGAAAGCCCCGGGCUUAACCUGGGAACGGCAUUUCGAACUGUCAGGCUAGAGUAUGGUAGAGGAGUGUGGAAUUUCCUGUGUAGCGGUGAAAUGCGUAGAUAGAGAAGACACAGCGG